rnacentral:rRNA from 1 species
UACGUAGGGGGCAAGCGUUGUCCGGAAUCAUUGGGCGUAAAGAGCGUGUAGGCGGCUCGGUAAGUCCGCUGUGAAAGUCCAGGGCUCAACCCUGGAAUGCCGGUGGAAACUGUCGAGCUAGAGUCCGGAAGAGGCGAGUGGAAUUCCUGGUGUAGCGGUGAAAUGCGCAGAUAUCAGGAGGAACACCGGUGGCGAAGGCGCACAUCUGGCCCGAUACUGACGCUGAGGCGCGAAAGCUAGGGGAGCAAACGGG